rnacentral:rRNA from 1 species
AGAGUUUGAUCAUGGCUCAGGAUGAACGCUAGCGGCAGGCUUAACACAUGCAAGUCGAGGGGUAACAGGAAAAAGCUUGCUUUUUCGCUGACGACCGGCGCACGGGUGCGUAACGCGUAUAGAACUUACCUUUUACAGAGGGAUAGCCUUUAGAAAUGAAGAUUAAUACCUCAUAGUACUGAAAUUCGGCAUCGAAAUUUAGUUAAAGAUUUAUCGGUAAAAGAUGGCUAUGCGUCCUAUUAGCUAGAUGGUAAGGUAACGGCUUACCAUGGCAACGAUAGGUAGGGGUCCUGAGAGGGAGAUCCCCCACACUGGUACUGAGACACGGACCAGACUCCUACGGGAGGCAGCAGUGAGGAAUAUUGGGCAAUGGAGGCAACUCUGACCCAGCCAUGCCGCGUGCAGGAAGAAUGCCCUAUGGGUUGUAAACUGCUUUUAUACAGGAAGAAACAGCUCUACGUGUAGAGCCUUGACGGUACUGUAAGAAUAAGGACCGGCUAACUCCGUGCCAGCAGCCGCGGUAAUACGGAGGGUCCAAGCGUUAUCCGGAAUCAUUGGGUUUAAAGGGUCCGCAGGCGGUCAAUUAAGUCAGAGGUGAAAUCCCGUCGCUCAACGACGGAACUGCCUUUGAUACUGGUUGACUUGAGUCAUAUGGAAGUAGAUAGAAUAAGUAGUGUAGCGGUGAAAUGCAUAGAGAUUACUUAGAAUACCGAUUGCGAAGGCAGUCUACUACGUAUGUACUGACGCUCAUGGACGAAAGCGUGGGGAGCGAACAGGAUUAGAUACCCUGGUAGUCCACGCCGUAAACGAUGGACACUAGUUGUUGGGAUUUAUCUCAGUGACUAAGCGAAAGUGAUAAGUGUCCCACCUGGGGAGUACGGUCGCAAGAUUGAAACUCAAAGGGAUUGACGGG